rnacentral:rRNA from 1 species
CUACGGGAGGCAGCAGUGGGGAAUAUUGCACAAUGGGCGCAAGCCUGAUGCAGCCAUGCCGCGUGUAUGAAGAAGGCCUUCGGGUUGUAAAGUACUUUCAGCGGGGAGGAAGGGAGUAAAGUUAAUACCUUUGCUCAUUGACGUUACCCGCAGAAGAAGCACCGGCUAACUCCGUGCCAGCAGCCGCGGUAAUA